CUUGGUUCUAUAGGAGAGCAGGCCGAGCAAGCCAGUAAGAAACAUCCCUCCAUGGCUUCUGCAUUACCUUCAUGACCUGAUUGAGUUCCUGACAUCCUUUGGUGAUGAACAGCAAUGUGGAAGAGUAAGCUGAAUAAACCCUUUCCUUCCCACCUUGCUUCUUGGUCAGGAUGUUUGUGCAGGAAUACAAACCAUAUAUAGGUUCUAGAACUGGGCUCAGUGUUAACACUGCAGGGAAUCUCAUACACCUGCUAUUUUGAGUUACAGAUUUGAAAUGGUACCAUGGUCUCCUGUCCUUUUGGUUUGUCCAUGCAGAGAAGAUUGUGACUGGAAACCAAAGUAUUUUAUUAAAUUGAGGUUUCAAAGGUGUCCAAGACAAGGGUGACAUUUGUCUUUCAUUGUAAUAGUGUUUGAGAAUUAAACCCUCGUCUCAUUGUGGUAUAGAUGGCAAAGUAAAAGCCAGACAUUGCUGAGCUGUUUGUUGAUCUCACAGCCCAGAAACCAGAAACCAUUAGAAUUAUCAGAGGAGUUGGAAAGAUUAGAUUUGUUGCUCAAAAACUUAAUAAAAUACAGAGGUAAUUGUUCCUUGUUCACUUUCUUUGUUGAGACAUUGUGAAAUCUGGUGGUUCAUGGUACAUGAUAACCAUAUUAUUAUGCUAAAUUUAACCAUGUGUGAGAUCUAGUUGUAUCUGUUAUGCAAAUUAGUGUCUUAUUUUCUCAUUGUUGCUCCAUUAUACCUGAUUAAGAGCAACUCAUGGAAAGGAAAUACUGAUUUUGUUUCAUGGUUCACACCAGGGGCCAGAGAGAUGGCUCAGCAGACAAAUGCACCUGCUUCUAAGUCCUUAAGACUUGAAUUUGAUCCAUGAUUCUCACCUAUGAAGUAGAUAAACAAAUAAGCAAUAAAAAAUAGGUAUAUACAUCUGUUAUGGCAGAAAGGCCCAGGGUAUUUGCAGCAGGAGGAGCAUGAGGCUGGGUCUCCUUUCAUGUUGACAGGUCUUAACCACUGUUCCUACUGAUCAGUCCUUCUCCUCUCUACAUUUAUUCAGUUAGCCUAUGGCAUACUGCCACCCACAAUAGGGUGGGUCUUACAAUAGGGUGGGUCUUGCAUCCUCAAUUAAACCUUUCUAGACACACUGACAGUUGUAUGGCUUAGGUAAUUUUAAAUCCAGCCAAUUUGUCAGUGAGUAGUAACCAUAGCAUCAAGGUGUAAUAUCUUUUUUGAAACAUAUCCAGAGCUUCUGGCAUUUCAAAUGCAGCCAUUAACUUUCAGUCUCCACAAAUGCAAAUGAUUGAGAACAGUUUUUAUUAUUUUUAUAUGAGGAAGAAAUUGCUUUAGGGCUAUCUUAACAGAGCAAGGACCAUGGCCAGCUUCAUAUUCUGGUGAAUGUCAAGUUCAUUGUCUGAUGACAGGAUAACUAGACCUGGAUAGAGGGAAGUGACAAGUCUUCUACUUGCCCGAGAAGAAAGAUGUCAAUGGAGAAGGUAGAUUCUAAAGAGACAUAGACCGGCCUCAGUAGAACAGAAUGUGAAGGAACAUCACCUCAAACAGAAUGGGCUACUUGCUGUCUCUUGGAACCUUUAUUCAAGAAAGGCUCAGCAUUUAGUGGCCAGUUUGAAUUUUGAACCUUGGAAUACUGCUCAGAUCCACCUAUGGUUGAUGAUCACUUUUGAAUGGCGCUAGAGCAAGAGACAGAACUAUGGGAGGAUUGGACUCUAGCAGGGAAAGCCUUGUUUCAGACCCUGUUUGUGAGGUGAGAAUUUUAUUUUAUUUUUUAUAAAACAAACUUAGGGUUUACCUGAGACAAAAGCCAACAAAGACAUCAGCAGUUAGGCUAUUUUUGGAGAGCCAUGGAGUAGGAGAAUUGUACUGAGAUGGUUUUAUUUCCUAGUCUUAUUUUACAGAUAGUUUGAUGGUAAUUCUUGAUUGUUAGCAUGAUUGGCUUAAGAAACACCUAGGACAUUAGUGAGGCACACCUUUAAGUAUAUCAGUGAGGAUCUGUUUUCAGUAGCCGCUUCAGUAGGCUUCAUGCUCCUACCACCAGACCUGUCCACCAUGAUGGAUCCCUCAAACUUUAAGUAAAAAUAAACCCUUCUUCCCUAAAGUUGAUUUUGUCCGAUAUUUUAUUCCAGGUAUGAGAAAGCAACUAAUACAGAUCUAAUCUAAAAACAGGGGAAAGGUAGCUUGUCACUGAACAUAGGUUUUUAUUGUUCCCAGGAGGAAUAGCCAAAACUGGGAUCUCCCAAGUCCUUGAUAACAUUACUGCAAACUUUAUCUAAAAUGAUUUAAAAUUAUUCAUGGUUUCACAUUUAAAGGCAUCAUUUAUCCCAUAAAUUUAAAAAAAUAAUAAAUGGGUUGUAUCCAGGAUUUUUCACUUUACUUACAUAUACAAACUAAGCUUCCACUUAGGAAACUUAUUUAUAAGCAAUUUUAAGUGAGUAUUUAGAAGUCUUUCUAGAACAAAGUAGUCAUUCUAUGGGACUAAAACAAAGUAGAAACAUUUCAGUACAUUUGCUUAUUUUAAUAGUCUAAGAAUAAAAUCUGAGGACAUUGUAAAUUGUUUAAAAGACAAAAUGCAAUGAGUUUUCAUCAAAUAUAGUUAAGUCUCUAGGACUAAAACAUACACUUUACUCUAGGUAAAAUUUACACUGUAUGGAAUGAGAUUUGGGAGCCCUGAGUGUGGCAAGUCCUCAGCAUAUGUGUUUGUGUUUGUGUGCAUUUGUGUGUGUGUGUUGUCAUGGUUGACGAGAGCACAGUCAUGUCAAUAGUCAUGUCAAUAGUCCUAAAGCCUCAGGCCCUUGGGUAAAUGGUAAAACCUACAACCACAGAAUGUGUAGAACAAGAGCACAGAGUGUGUGUUGCACACACAUGUGUGUUUUGUGUGAGGCUUAGUCUUUAUGUGGCCUCAGGGAUGGACCUGGCUGGGUGGUGAGAGGAUGAAGAAGAGACUUACAUAUGAACACACAGACCCAGAAAGAAGCUGAAUUAGGUGGACUGAGCUCUCUGAUGGAGAAAGAGCAGCAUGCUAGAAACUCAGAGAAACAUAAUUCUGUUGUUCUUUUCUUCCCAUUGGCAGAUGCUACAGUAAUUUGAAUUUUCUGUUUCUGUGCUGGGUUCAGAUGAUUACGCUAAGUAAAUAUUUUAAAUGAAUACUCUAUGGGAAUUGUAUAUAAUGAAUAUAAUGAAGAAUACAUGAAAUAUAAAUUUUGCUCAGAAAUUUCACCAGACUGCAGGCUGGGGCUUUGGUUGUCCUCUAUAACCUAUGGAAUUUCACAAGUUUUCUUGUUGGAAUUUUGGUCUCUUUUCAUGAGUUUCAGUUAUGAAAGGGGAGAAUUUUCAACAAUUCUGUUUACCUUUUAUUUCAGUUACUUUCUAUUUGGAAUCUUCUUUUCUAGGGCUUUGAUCUUUUCACCCUUGCUUACUGAAUUAAGAAUGGAGAAUUCAUGGACUUUGAGUGACAUUUAAAACUAAAAACAAAACAAAACAACAACAACAACAACAAUACCCCCUCCCCCCGCAAACUUCUUCCUCAAUUUACUUACAAAUCAAUCAGCUUGAAAAGAUUUACUUCUUCCAUGAAAUAGUCCAAUCAAAAUUUAUGAAACGCCAGAAAGGAAAAAAACAUAAGCUCAAAAAUAUAACCACCAGAGUGCUCUACACCCACGUGAAUCAGCCCACCUCAUUGUACUUGUAGAUUUUUGAGUGAAAAAUUAGCCUAUGGGGCCCACCCUGCCGAGUGGUAAUCCCUGGAUUCAGCCGUAAACACCACAUCGCAGAUUUCCUGCUUCUAAAGUGAUGGAAGAAUGAUUCUGUUAGUCAACCCAUAGGAGCUCCUCACUUGGAAUGUGCUCCCCUGAAUUUAGCCAAUGCACUGAUAACCAAUUCCUUGCUUUUGUAAGACCUUCUGUAUUUGUUUUUAAAAAAAUAAAGUUUCAAUUCAGCAACAUA